AUCGCUUCUCGGCCUUUUGGCUAAGAUCAAGUGUAGUAUCUGUUCUUAUAAGAUCAACGCACAGCAUGGUCAGGGGUCUCCAAUUGGCGAGAUCCUUAGGAUCGCCCUUUUUAUAUAACAAAGAGAGAGCCCCCGACCGCAU
ensembl:snRNA U2 U2 spliceosomal RNA